CUCCAGCUUUGGCUCAGGAGUGGCUUAAGGAAAAGAGUCUGGUUCAUUUUGUCAGCAGAGUAAAUGUUUAGUUCUGUUGCUGUUCCCAGCUGGCCUUCAGCUUAAGGAACAAAAGAAAGGGGGAAAAUGGGCAUGAAGAAAGCACUUUCUGUACAAAAGCUCUCAUCAAAGAAGAUUCCUCCUGAGUUGAGAUGGAAAAGAUGCUGCCAUUCACCAUUCUGCCGCAGCAUUAUGAGUCUACCAUUGUUGCUAAUACAGGGGUACAGAGACACUGCUUUCUGCCUGUGGCCCCUCUGCUCAGCAACCCAUGUCCUGGUUCCUGGCUCGGGCUUGUCACAUCAUGCUUCUAUUCUCUUUGAAAAUGGAAAUGCUCC